GGGCCAUAGCUCAGUGGCACUGUGUCUGCUUUGUAUGCAGGAGGCCCCAGGUUCAAUCCUUGGCAUCUCCA